rnacentral:lncRNA from 1 species
UUUUUUUUUCCUACAGAAAGACCCACAUUGUGCUAAGUGUCUCCAAUGUUUACUUCUCCUGCACAUCCAUUUUCUGAGUUCAGGACAGCCAAUGGCUUUUUGCACAUUUCUAGUUGGAUUCUGCCUCAGAGUUUAAUUUACCCCAAUCUCAGAGUAACCCGUGAUCCUCCUCAUUUGGUCCUCCUAAUCCAUCUGCUGAAGGAGUCAUAUUCAACCUCAGACUCCACCCCCAUCUGUUGCUGCUCAUACCUAAGCACUUACCAAGUCUUUAGGUUGACUUUGUAAACACUGUGCCCUCCCUGUGCAAGAGGAAAGUACCUUUCUCAUCCUCAAGGACAGGAAGUCAAAGUGCAGAGAAAUCUGCACAAACAACCCUUGUUAGACUAUUCCUAUCUUCCUCACCAUUUCUCCAUUGACUUAACUGCCCUGGCCCAAGCCAACUGCCUUAUCACAGUUCCAUGAUUUACUACUCUCGGUCUGAUUUGGUACAUAAGCGUUCAAGUUCAACUCCAAC